GCCACAUGAUGAGUUUAGAUGCGUCAGCAGCCCACGGGCCGUGGUGACCUUCUAUCUAUCACCCUUUUCUGAUGGCG